AUAUAUAAAAAUAGAACUAAAAAUACCACAACUUAAUGUGAUAGGUGAUGAUGU
rnacentral:guide_RNA from 1 species